AUUAUACUCGCUCCGUCCCGAAAUACUUGCCGGAGAAAUGGAUAAAAUUGGAUGUAUCUAUAACUAAAAUACGUUUAGAUUCAUCCUUUUUUCGACAAGUAUUUCUGGACGGAGGGAGUACUUG
rfam:Triticum urartu cultivar G1812 contig936970, whole genome shotgun sequence.